CUCAGGCCUUGCGACGAUCUCCCAGAAUUCAGCAGAGUGCAGCAAUUUGGGGUGUUUACUGGAUUCCUAUUUACCCUGCCUCCUUUGCGAAAUGGAUUUGCAGGGGGCUGAGUCAGCUGACCUUUCCUAAGGAUGGCCAAUUUGCUGACUCUGUGCAGGGGCCAGUGGGCAGAACGGCCUUCCGUUUCUCUCCAGCUGACUCCUGGGCUGCAGCGGGACCGAAUGGGAAUAUCCUCUCACUUCCAGUAUCCCUCGCUUCUGAGGGACCCAGUGAAAAUGCAGAAGAGUCCGGGAGCGUCUCAGAGGCUACUACGGGCAAUGCCACGUGCUGGGCAAGAUCGGGGAAAGGUAAAGAACCGGACCCUCAGAGAGGUUAAGUCUGAAGGCACACAGUGAGAGGGCCAGGAGCAAACUUGGGUCUGCAGACCUCAAAAAGAGCAGACAGGACAACUCCAGGCGUGGGCGUGGAGUGGGGCCAAUGGCCGAGGCCUCCCUCCUCUACAUGCUCUGUGCAGGAAAGGCUGGUCCAGCUCCCAGGAGCGAAUAAAAAGGAAAAGACAGCAAGAGAUGGACGUCGCAGGCAGGUGACGGACAUUUUGUCAAAAGAUGGCUGGGUUUCUGGCUCUCUCCUGCCUUAAACCCUUCCGUGGAUCCCCGCUACCUACAGGACCCCAUUCCAGGCUCCUCUGCCCAGCAUCCAACACUUUCCAGGAUCUGGCCUCGCCUUCCUUUUCAGCCUCCUGGGCCAUUGGGCUGCCCUGGUCCCCAGCGCCUGGGCUCCAGCUGACUGAGUGCCUCGCCGGGCCCUCCCCAUGCCCAUCUCUGCACUUUCAUUCCUUAUGUUCCCGCAGCCUGUGCCCGUCAAAGCCCCGCCUAGCUUUCAAGGCCCUGGGCAUCCUACCUCCGUAACAAGCCUCCCCAAUGUCUCCUACCAACCUUUGCGGCCCUGUGUGUUCAGAGCGUGCCAGCCCAGCAUCUAUCACAGCCUGGACCGGAGCUGGCCAUGGCUCAGUGGUGGCCGUGCCGACUUCUGCCAUCCUCCCAGGACGCCAGGUUCCUUAGAACCAGGGCUAGUUCAUCGCACAGGGCCCAGCACCUGUGUUGCUCUAAUAUACUUUGAAUUAAACUAGAACAUUAAGCC